ensembl:lncRNA
AGAAUACCUCUUCAACACUUCAUUAGGCUGUGUUCUUCUCUCAGUCCUCUGUGGUGGCUAGACCAUCUAUCUGUCCACGCCACUGUAGUGGAGACAAGUCAGAGUGCUGGCUUUAAGGCUAAAAAGCCCCAAUUAGUUGUAAUUACACACAGAGAACACUUAACCGUUUGGAUAUGUAAGUAUAUCAACAGGAGAUUGUUGACAUUAAAACACUUGCAUAGCAGGUGUGAUAUUUGUAUUUAUUAUGGAUCCCCAUUAGUUCCUGCCAAAGCAGCAGCUACUCUUCCUGGGGUUUAUUAUGGAUCCCCAUUAGUUCCUGCCAAAGCAGCAGCUACUCUUCCUGGGGUUUAUUAUGGAUCCCCAUUAGUUCCUGCCAAAGCAGCAGCUACUCUUCCUGGGGUUUAUUAUGGAUCCCCAUUAGGUCCUGCCAAAGCAGCAGCUACUCUUCCUGGGGUUUAUUAUGGAUCCCCAUUAGUUCCUGCCAAAGCAGCAGCUACUCUUCCUGGGGUUUAUUAUGGAUCCCCAUUAGUUCCUGCCAAAGCAGCAGCUACUCUUCCUGGGGUUUAUUAUGGAUCCCCAUUAGUUCCUGCCAAAGCAGCAGCUACUCUUCCUGGGGUUUAUUAUGGAUCCCCAUUAGUUCCUGCCAAAGCAGCAGCUACUCUUCCUGGGGUUUAUUAUGGAUCCCCAUUAGUUCCUGCCAAAGCAGCAGCUACUCUUCCUGGGGUUUAUUAUGGAUCCCCAUUAGGUCCUGCCAAAGCAGCAGCUACUCUUCCUGGGGUUUAUUAUGGAUCCCCAUUAGUUCCUGCCAAAGCAGCAGCUACUCUUCCUGGGGUUUAUUAUGGAUCCCCAUUAGUUCCUGCCAAAGCAGCAGCUACUCUUCCUGGGGUUUAUUAUGGAUCCCCAUUAGUUCCUGCCAAAGCAGCAGCUACUCUUCCUGGGGAUUAUUAUGGAUCCUCAUUAGUUCCUGGUAAGGCAGCAGCUACUCUUCCUGGGGUUUAUUAUGGAUCCCCAUUAGUUCCUGCCAAAGCAGCAGCUACUCUUCCUGGGGUUUAUUAUGGAUCCCCAUUAGUUCCUACCAAAGCAGCAGCUACUCUUCCUGGGGUUUAUUAUGGAUCCCCAUUAGUUCCUACCAAAGCAGCAGCUACUCUUCCUGGGGUUUAUUAUGGAUCCCCAUUAGUUCCUGCCAAAGCAGCAGCUACUCUUCCUGGGGUUUAUUAUGGAUCCCCAUUAGUUCCUACCAAAGCAGCAGCUACUCUUCCUGGGGUUUAUUAUGGAUCCCCAUUAGUUCCUGCCAAAGCAGCAGCUACUCUUCCUGGGGUUUAUUAUGGAUCCCCAUUAGUUCCUACCAAAGCAGCAGCUACUCUUCCUGGGGUUUAUUAUGGAUCCCCAUUAGUUCCUGCCAAAGCAGCAGCUACUCUUCCUGGGGUUUAUUAUGGAUCCUCAUUAGUUCCUGACAAAGCAGCAGCUACUCUUCCUGGGGUUUAUUAUGGAUCCCCAUUAGUUCCUGCCAAAGCAGCAGCUACUCUUUCUGGGGUUUAUUAUGGAUCCCCAUUAGUUCCUGCCAAAGCAGCAGCUACUCUUCCUGGGGUUUAUUAUGGAUCCCCAUUAGUUCCUGCCAAAGCAGCAGCUACUCUUCCUGGGGUUUAUUAUGGAUCCCCAUUAGUUCCUGCCAAAGCAGCAGCUACUCUUCCUGGG